ACUGCUCAGUAACACGUGGACAACGUACCCUAAAGUGGAGCAUAAUCUCGGGAAACUGAGGAUAAUUCUCCAUAGACCAUGAGAUCUGGAAUGACUUAUGGUUCAAAGUUCCGGCGCUUUAGGAUCGGUCUGCGGCCUAUCAGGUAGUAGUGGGUGUAACGUACCCCCUAGCCAAUUACGGGUAUGGGCCUUGAGAGAGGGAGCCCAGAGUUGGAUUCUGAGACACGAAUCCAGGCCCUACGGGGCGCAGCAGUCGCGAAAACUUCACAAUGGGCGAAAGCCCGAUGAGGGAAUUCCUAGUGCUAGCACAUUUGUGUUAGCUUUUCCUUAGCGUAGAUAACUAGGGGAAUAAGGGCUGGGUAAGACGGGUGCCAGCCGCCGCGGUAAUACCCGCAGCCCGAGUGGUGGUCGAUUUUAUUGAGUCUAAAACGUUCGUAGCCGGUCUGAUAAAUCCCUGGGUAAAUCGGGUGGCUUAACCAUCCGAAUUCCGGGGAGACUGUCAGGCUUGGGAUCGGGAGAGGUAUGAGGUACUUCAGGGGUAGGGGUAAAAUCCUGUAAUCCUUGGAGGACCACCGGUGGCGAAGGCGUCAUACUAGAACGAAUCCGACGGUGAGGGACGAAGCCCUAGGUCGCAAACGGGAUUAGAUACCCCGGUAGUCUAGGGUGUAAACGCUGCAGACUAGGUGUUGGAGGCCCUACGGGGGCACCCAGUGCCCGAGAGAAGUUGUUAAGUCUGCUACUUGGGGAGUACGUCCGCAAGGAUGAAACUUAAAGGAAUUGGCGGGGGAGCAC
rnacentral:rRNA from 1 species